AGCAGCCGCGGUAAUUCCAGCUCCAAUAGCGUAUAUUAAAGUUGUUGCAGUUAAAAAGCUCGUAGUUGAAUUUCGGGAUCAGUUCGCUGGUCGUGCCUCUGGUAUGUACUGGUGUUACUGGUUCCUCCCUUCUGACGAACUGUCAUGUCAUUAAUUUGGUGUGGCGGGGAAUCAGGACUGUUACUUUGAAAAAUUAGAGUGUUUAAAGCAGGCUCGCGCUUGAAUACAUUAGCAUGGAAUAAUGAAAUAGGACGUUCGAUCCUAUUUUGUUGGUUUCUAGGAUUGACGUAAUGAUUAAUAGGGAUAGUUGGGGGCAUUAGUAUUCAAUUGUCAGAGGUGAAAUUCUUGGAUUUAUUGAAGACUAACUACUGCGAAAGCAUUUGCCAAGGAUGUUUUCAUUAAUCAAGAACGAAAGUUAGGGGAUCGAAGACGAUCAGAUACCGUCGUAGUCUUAACCAUAAACUACGCCGACUAGGGAUCGGAUGAUGUUAAUUUUUAAUGACUCAUUCGGCGUCCG
rnacentral:rRNA from 1 species